UUGUAAUUUGUAGAGGAUGCUUUUGGUGAGGUGCCUUCCGAGUUCCCUGGAACGGGACGCCAUAGAGGGUGAGAGCCCCGUCUGGUUGGACACCGAUCCUCUGUAAAGCUCCUUCGAC
rnacentral:rRNA from 1 species